AUGCAAGACGUGUUUAGUAAAUAAAAAAAAAAUAAGGAUUUUACUAAAUACAGCAAUUAUUACCACUUUGGUAGAUUUUUAUAAUAUGAAAUCCUGACUUCGAAAGGAAAGUUUUCUAUUCGAUUAUUUGUUGAAUUUUUUGAAAUUUAUGUUUCCAUUUACUCUGCUUUCGAUAUCGAACUUAGAUUGCAAGUGGCAUCAGUGAAUAAUGAGUAAACAACAAUAGUAACUCCGAGUGUUAAACGAGAUUUUAUCGAUUAUCUUGCGUAUUUACUUUAUUUAUUAAAGAUGGGUCUGCUAAAUCUCAUUACUAACAAUCCUUUCCUUCUCUGCUCUAUAUUUGUAUUAGAAAAAAAACCUAACAGCUCUUCAAAGUGUUUACUAGUUUUAAUACUACUAUUUGAGCCAAGUAAUACAUUGAUAAUUACUGAAAGACAAACAAAAUUAUUCAUUUAUUGUUUAAAAAUAUAUUUUAAGCUACCCUGAAAUUGGAGACGAUGGUCACUAGCCGUUAACUGUCCACUGCUGGACAUAAAGGCCAAGGCCUGCCUUCUUCACAAGGGGAGUUUGCCAGUAGUUAUCACGCUUGGCAGACGGGUUGACAACCGCAAUUACACUUUUAGAGAUGUUUUAAGAGGGACGCUGCUGCCCAUCCCUCGCCCUCAUCAUCACAUCAUAAAUUACAUAUAUGAUACUAUAUUUUAAUUUACUUAUUUAUUUAUUUAACUUUUUAUCAUCACUAGGGCAAUGGGCAAUGGCAAACCCAACUUUUGAUUAAAGGAGAAUAGUUAGAAGUGGGUAGAUGGCGCAAGAGUGAAUUAAUAAUUUUUAUAUGCAUAAAAUAUAAAAACCAAUACUGCAUAAAAAUAGCAAAUACAUAUUAUUUAAUAAUACAUAUACAUUCACAUAUAAAUACAUACAUAGCAUAUACAAGGAAAUAUGAUAAGUUCAGUAAAAUAUUACAGAAGAAAGGAAAAAAGUAACUACAAUGAGAGAAAAUGCGAUUUAACUUGUCCUUUAAACGAAGCGAAGGAUUUGUGCACUCAGUGUAGAAGGUGACAGCAAGUUCCAUAGACACACAGCCUGAAUGGAUGAAAAAAGAUUUUGUAUAAUGCACGGAGAUAUGUGAACUGCAUUUCACAGAAAUAUAAAUUGCUCUUUGAGGUAAUAAGGUGUGAAAGAAUUGAAUAGAAUAUAAUAAAGAAGAGAAAGUAUGUGAACAGGAAACAUUUAGUAGUAUAAUAUUUGCCUACCUUCCAUUCUUUAAUCACCUAUUCUAAAAAAUGUAUAAUAAAAGAAAAUUUAAAUAAAUAACUACAAUUGGCUACAUAAGAGGUUCACAGGAGUAUGUACUUACUUUUUUC